rnacentral:misc_RNA from 1 species
UUGCACCCGUACACACCUGAAACAGCAAGGACAAACUCUCUCAGAAAGAGAGACGCGGGAUCACAGCAAUACCAUGCACGCUUGACUAUUACAACAAUGCUCCCCUUAAUAAAGCAAAUUCAAAUACAUGAUUUUGAACUCCACACAACCUAAUUGAUCAAAGUAAUAAACUUAAUCCCAAUCUAGUUGUUUAAAAGCUUUAUUGUCAACCCCAUCAGUCUCUCUCUCUCUCUCUCU